rnacentral:siRNA from 1 species
AGGCACUUCUCACGUACAAGGCAC